UGGGGAAUAUUGCACAAUGGGCGAAAGCCUGAUGCAGCAACGCCGCGUGAGUGAUGAAGGUCUUCGGAUUGUAAAGCUCUGUCUUUUGGGACGAUAAUGACGGUACCAAAGGAGGAAGCCACGGCUAACUACGUGCCAGCAGCCGCGGUAAUACGUAGGUGGCGAGCGUUGUCCGGAUUUACUGGGCGUAAAGGGUGCGUAGGCGGAUGUUUAAGUGAGAUGUGAAAUACCCGGGCUUAACUUGGGUGCUGCAUUUCAAACUGGAUAUCUAGAGUGCAGGAGAGGAGAAUGGAAUUCCUAGUGUAGCGGUGAAAUGCGUAGAGAUUAGGAAGAACACCAGUGGCGAAGGCGAUUCUCUGGACUGUAACUGACGCUGAGGCACGAAAGCGUGGGGUAAGCAAACAGGAUU
rnacentral:rRNA from 1 species